rnacentral:rRNA from 1 species
AGAGUUUGAUCCUGGCUCAGGACGAACGCUGGCGGCGUGCUUAACACAUGCAAGUCGAACGGAAAGGCCCCUUUGGGGGUACUCGAGUGGCGAACGGGUGAGUAACACGUGAGUAACCUGCCCUUGACUUCGGGAUAACUUCAGGAAACUGGGGCUAAUACCGGAUAGGAAUCCUUGCUGCAUGGUGGGGGUUGGAAAGCUUCGGCGGUUUUGGAUGGACUCGCGGCUUAUCAGCUUGUUGGUGGGGUAGUGGCUUACCAAGGCUUUGACGGGUAGCCGGCCUGAGAGGGCGACCGGCCACAUUGGGACUGAGAUACGGCCCAGACUCCUACGGGAGGCAGCAGUGGGGAAUAUUGCACAAUGGGCGGAAGCCUGAUGCAGCAACGCCGCGUGCGGGAUGACGGCCUUCGGGUUGUAAACCGCUUUCAGCAGGGGCGAAGCUUGUGGUGACGGUACCUGCAGAAGAAGCACCGGCUAACUACGUGCCAGCAGCCGCGGUGAUACGUAGGGUGCGAGCGUUGUCCGGAUUUAUUGGGCGUAAAGAGCUCGUAGGUGGUUGAUUGCGUCGGAAGUGAAAACUUGGGGCUUAACCCUGAGCGUGCUUUCGAUACGGGUUGACUUGAGGAAGGUAGGGGAGAAUGGAAUUCCUGGUGGAGCGGUGGAAUGCGCAGAUAUCAGGAGGAACACCAGUGGCGAAGGCGGUUCUCUGGACCUUUCCUGACGCUGAGGAGCGAAAGCGUGGGGAGCGAACAGGCUUAGAUACCCUGGUAGUCCACGCUGUAAACGGUGGGUACUAGGUGUGGGGUCCAUUCCACGGAUUCCGUGCCGUAGCUAACGCAUUAAGUACCCCGCCUGGGGAGUACGGCCGCAAGGCUAAAACUCAAAGGAAUUGACGGGGCCCCGCACAAGCGGCGGAGCAUGCGGAUUAAUUCGAUGCAACGCGAAGAACCUUACCUGGGUUUGACAUGGACUGGGAGUGCUCAGAGAUGGGUAUGCCUCCUUGUGGGGCUGGUUCACAGGUGGUGCAUGGCUGUCGUCAGCUCGUGUCGUGAGAUGUUGGGUUAAGUCCCGCAACGAGCGCAACCC